GACAGAGGGGGCAAGCGUUGCUCGGAAUUACUGGGCGUAAAGGGCGCGUAGGCGGGAUGGCAAGUCGGUCGUGAAAUCCUUCGGCUCAACCGAAGAACGUCGAUCGAUACUGCUGUUCUUGAGGGUUGCAGAGGAGACUGGAAUUCCCGGUGUAGCGGUGAAAUGUGUAGAGAUCGGGAGGAACACCCGUGGCGAAAGCGGCUCUCUGGGACGGUACUGACGCUGAGACGCGAAAGCGUGGGGAGCAAACAGG
rnacentral:rRNA from 1 species